rnacentral:rRNA from 1 species
AUUGAACGCUGGCGGCACGCCUAACACAUGCAAGUCGAGCGGUAACAUGCUUAGUAGCAAUACUAAGUGAUGACGAGCGGCGGACGGGUGAGGAACACGUAGGAACCUGCCAAAAGUGGGGGAUGACUAAGGGAAACUGUAGCUAAUACCGCAUAAUUCUCUGAGGAGAAAAGUUGCCCGUAAGGGUAGCGCUUUUGGAGGGGCCUGCGUCCGAUUAGUUAGUUGGUGAGGUAAUGGCUCACCAAGACUGUGAUCGGUAACUGGUCUGAGAGGACGACCAGUCACACUGGGACUGAGACACGGCCCAGACUCCUACGGGAGGCAGCAGUGGGGAAUCUUGGACAAUGGGGGCAACCCUGAUCCAGCGAUGCCGCGUGGGUGAAGAAGGCCUUCGGGUUGUAAAGCCCUUUAGGCUGGGAAGAAGAGUGUGGGAUGAAUAAUCCUGUACUUUGACGGUACCAGCAGAAUAAGCACCGGCAAACUCUGUGCCAGCCGCCGCAGUAA